GAAGUUGGCUGGACAAUCGCUGUAUGAUUUUAUCGUAGAGAGGAAAGUCCGGGCUCCAAAGGGCAGGGUGCCAGGUAACGCCUGGGGGGUGUAAGAACCUACGGCUAGUGCAGCAGAAAGAUACCGCCUUAAUUUGCUAAUUUAGUAUUUUGGGGUAAGGGUGAAAUGGUGCGGUAAGAGCGCACCGCGUUUACUGGUAACAGUGGCGGCUAGGUAAACCCCACCUGGAGCAAGACCAAAUAGAGAAGCUGAGGCGUGGCCCGCGCUGCUUCUGGGUAGGUUGCUUGAGGCGCAUAGCGAUGUGCGUCCUAGAUGAAUGAUUGUCACAACUUCGGUUGUACAGAACCCGGCUUAUAGGCCAGCUUCCCUA
rnacentral:RNase_P_RNA from 1 species